rnacentral:rRNA from 1 species
UUUUUGUGCCCAGGCCCAUCGCGGUUAUACAAAAAAUACAAGUAAAUUUUAUUGGUAUAAGUUAAAUAAAUAUUUAUUUAAUAAAUAAUAAUUUUUUAGGUGAAAUUUUAAUUUAUUUUAAUUAAUAUAAUUAUAGUUAUUGAAACUUGGAAAUUUUUGUACUAAACUAGGAUUAGAUACCCUACUAUAAAAAUUGUAUAUAAUUAAACCGGAGUAGUAUUAGUUAAGGUCUUGAAACUCAAAAAAUUUGGCGGUAUUUUAGUCUAUUUAGAGGAACCUGUAGUAUAAUCGAUAAUCCACGAUGGACCUCACUUAAUUUUGUUUUUCAGUUUGUAUACCGCUGUUAUUUGAAAAUUUUAUAAGAAUAUUAAUUUUCAUAGUUUUUUAUUAAAAAGUAAAUCAGGUCAAGGUGCAGCUUAUGAUUAAGUAUUUAUGGGUUACAAUGAAGGUAUUUAUAUGAAUUAAAACAUGAAAGUUGUUUUUUGAAAGCGGAUUUAAUAGUAAAUUUUUAUAGAUUAAAGAGUUGAUUUUAGCUCUAAAAUAUGCACACAUCGCCUCGUCGCUCUUGUUAUUAAUAUAUAAAGAAUAAGGUCGUUAACA